AAUAAAAUAAAAUAAAAAGUUAAAAAUACAGAUUCCUGUGCCACCAGAAGGGAUGAAUCUGACCCAGGAAACCAGACGACACAUUGUUGAGGGCCUGUGGUAUGUCCUCAGCUGCACACCGGAUUCAGGAAGACUGGGGCGCAGGCCUCAGGAGGCAAAAACACAAAGUCUCAUUUUGUCAUCCAGGCUGG